rnacentral:lncRNA from 1 species
CUGGCUGAACACUAUGCUAAUAAGAACACAGCUCAUACUCUGCAUAAAGAGGGGGAAAGAAAAAAAAAGACUUCGCAGUGAAGCACUUUAAGGCUAGGCUAUUUGAAUGUUUUUUGUCUGGAUGACGCAACACUGAGCUCAUGAGAGUCAGAUCAAAUCCAAAAGGAAGAGAAGAGGCAAAAGUCCAGCUGGGAGUCUUGCUAUUCACUGAUUCACAAUAAAAACGUUGAUAAAAUAUGAAUCUUCUGAAGUCCAGGCAAGUCACCAGCUGGGAACGAAGUCACGAAGUUGCAAAGAACCUAUCAUGCCAACUGAAAUCCAAGGUCAAGUUGUUGUUGACUUCAGUAGAUACCAAAUCCUAA